GACGAACCGAGCGAACGUUAUUCGGAAUCACUGGGCUUAAAGGGCGCGUAGGCGGGCGAUCAAGUCAGGGGUGAAAGCCCCCAGCUCAACUGGGGAAGUGCCUCUGAUACUGGUCGCCUCGAGGGAGGUAGGGGCGUGCGGAACUUCCGGUGGAGCGGUGAAAUGCGUAGAUAUCGGAAGGAACGUCGGUGGCGAAAGCGGCGCGCUGGACCUCUUCUGACACUGAGGCGCGAAAGCCAGGGGAGCGAACGGG
rnacentral:rRNA from 1 species